ACACGCCACACAGACACCGGACACGACACUACAACAUUCAAAUUUGAGAAAAUAAAAGUAAUGGAAUGUAAUAAAAUGUGCAGGUGUCAAACAUACACCUAACACGUCUCCAAUCAGAAGUGUCAGUGCUACAUAUAGAUCUUGAUUAUCAAAACAUGUCUUCAAUCAAAAGUGUCAGUGCUACAUAUAGAUCUCGAUUAUCAUAAAAGAGAGAAAAGCAUUUGUACAUACACGAAUGAAAUCUUCAAGGAACCAAGAAGGCACAGCCCUAGCAGGCCUAACAAAAGACAACCUCAUCAAUUCCCUAAGCCUAUCAGGAGUUUGUGGCAACAAAAUACUACAAGCUUCCUCUAAAGAAGAAACCCUAAACAAACCAUUUUUCAUAUCAAUCUCCUCCAAACAAACACCAGCACAACACAAAGCCAACUUCUCCACCACCUCAGGAAACUGAGCAGCCAAACUAUACCCUACAAACCCUCCAUAGCUUAUACCAACCAAGCUCAAUCUAUUCACACCAUGAGCCUCCAUGAGCUUCUUCAAACACAAAGCUUGAAAAGACUCUGUCCUCUCUGGCCUUGAAGUGAAUGAUCCACCAAAGAAGAGAAGAUCAGGCACAUAUAAAUUGAACUGUCUGAUGAAAUGAUGAAGAUGUUCACCAUAUUGCCACAUUGCAUUGGCGCCAAAACCAUGAACAAGAACAAGAGAUGGUUUACAUGGGUUGUGUAACUUAGGCACCCAACAAUGCAUGGUGGUUCCGUCGCCGAGAUCGGUCACAACGGACCGGAGACCGGCGACGGUGAAGGAAUGACGGUAUAACCAGUCUCUUGAAGCGGCAAAACUGACGCAUUUUGAAAACUUAGACAACAUAGAAAGAAAAAUAUAUAAUAACAAAAAUGAAACUUUGUAUGAUUAAUGUGAAUGUUUAUGAAGAAUUUGAAAUGGGUUUUGAAGAAAUUCAAAUGGGUGUGUUAUUUUUAUAUGAUGAUGAGAAAAAGUAUUUUUGGUAAUUUUUAAUUUUGCAUUAUGUAUUCAGAUGGAUAUGAAUAUGGAAAAUGAAGACGGUGAGCAAAGAUGACAAGAUAAGGCCAACUCAACACAACAUGGAUUUGGAAUGCAAUGUUUGCGGAUUGUCUAUUCAUGAAGCGGUUACAUGAUGCAUCUUCUUCUAUGUUCCAUUUUUU
rnacentral:lncRNA from 1 species